rnacentral:lncRNA from 1 species
UGAAGGCUUCAUUAGGGAUUCGGCCUUUGGAAGGUCAGCUUCGAAAGGUCAGUCCUCAGACGAGGUCGGCCUCCCAUCUGAUGAAACUAGGAGAGUCUCUGACUUGAUCUACCAUUUGUGAUACUUUAGUCCGACCGAUACGGAUGGCCAAUCAAGUUUUUUAUGAGAGGCUUAGCCGCACUUUACGUUGUGAGCCUUAAGAAAGUUGGGCUCAACGACAUCUUUGCUCCAUCGACUUAAGGGUUUCAUCAUCACACCUCAGAUCCAGUGGAGGCUACCUCUGGUGUUAUCAGUACUCCUGUCAUUACACCUCGAAUUUUGUCGAGGUGACCCAUGUCUUGUCAAUGAUUUUGACCACACUGCACCUCGAAAUCCAUCGAGAUGACUUGGGGCCUUCACGAGGGUCUUUGUUGUAGGCCAUUCCAUCACAGAGGAGCGUUGUGGUUUGUAGCACCUCAAAUCUCACCGAGGUGACUUUGGUCCUUGACCAAGGGUUGUUGUCGUCACACCUCGAACUUAAUCAAGAUGAUCUCUAAUUCAACCAAGGGUUAAGUCUCCGAUAGUUAGAGUGUUUAAUGCAAAAUUAUAGGAAAGAAAAAAUAUUUAUUUAUAAGGCAUUCCUAUUGAUAAUACAUCUAUAGAUUCUUGACGUUCUAGAUCUCAAGAAUCUUUGUGCCAUCCAGGCUCUCGAUCUUGUAUGCUCUAGAUUGUAGAACCACUGAAAUCUUAUAGAGACCUUCUCAAUUUGGGGAUAACUUUUCUUGCUCGAUCGGUUUGGAGAUUUUAGCUCUCCUAAGGAUUAGGUCUCCAGCUUGAAAGAUUUUGGACUUGAUUUGAGAGUUGUAAUACCGAGCUAUCCUUUACUGAUAAGAAACUGUUCUAAGUUAGGCUCGUCUUUGGAUCUCAUCGAGCAAGUCCAAAUCAGCUCGUCGCUUGUCCGAAUUGGUUCGUUCGUCGUAAUGCUCCACUCAAGUCGAAGAUAGGUCGAUUUCAAUCGAGAUCACAGCUUCCAUCUCAAAAGUUAGUUUGAAGGGGAUUUCUUCAGUCAAGAUCCAAGGAGUUAUUUGGUCAGACUAUAGGACACUAGGGAUUUCAUCAGUCCAACAUUCUUUGGUUUGAUCGAUUCUUAUCUUCAGGCUUUGUAGAAUUGUCCUAUUGGUCACCUUAGCUUCUUCAUUAGAUUGCGGGUGCCUGACCAAGAUAAAUUUAUAGAUGAUGUGGUACUUUAUGUAGAAUUCUUCAAUUCUGAUAUUGUCG